UUCGCAAUGCCCGAAAGGGUGACGGAGCGACGCCGCGUGUGGGACGAAGCCCUUCGGGGUGUAAACCACUGUCAGGGGACAGAAAGUUCUGAUCGUCCCCAGAGGAAGGCACGGCUAACUCUGUGCCAGCAGCCGCGGUAAGACAGAGGUGCCAAGCGUUAGGCGGAAUCACUGGGCUUAAAGCGCGUGUAGGCGGGUGAGCGCGUCCGUCGCUGAAAUCCCCCGGCUCAACCGGGGAACUGGCGUGGAUACGGCUCGCCUGGAGGGGCGUAGGGGGACCUGGAACUUCCGGUGGAGCGGUGAAAUGCGUUGAGAUCGGAAGGAACGCCCGUGGCGAAAGCGAGGUCCUGGACGCCUACUGACGCUGAGACGCGAAAGCCAGGGGAGCGAACGGGACUAGAUACCCCGGUAGUCCUGGCCGUAAACGAUGGGCACUAAGUAGAGGGGUUUU
rnacentral:rRNA from 1 species